UUAUUAUUUUAUGUAAAAGAGCAGUUUCAAGAAUAUAUUAAUGAGGAUAAGACUGCAUCAUCAGGAUAGCAUGUCUUUUCAGAAUCAGAAAGAGUGAGCUAAGAAAUAGAAAUGAGCUGGAACUUAUCAGCAGUAAGUGUGAGAUUAGGAUCUUUGAGCACAACAAGGAGGAAGAGGAAACAACGGAGGAAGGAGAUGAACACCAGUACAUUGAUUGAUGGCAGGAUUACUGUAGCCCACCAGACAGUGUGAUCCUAUAAAUGACAAAAAUGAUCACGGGGACAAUAAAGUACUGACAAAGAAAAGGGAGAAGUAGGACCUUUCUACAAGGCCCUAUGCACCUCACCUGAAAUCCUUUAGUUAUGCGUGUCUGUCAUAUUCAGACAAAGUCAAAUUGGGACAGGUGCAGAGGAAGACUGCGAUGUUAAGCAGUUUCUAUUAUGAGUGUCUUGCUUUAUGAGAUUAAGAGCCUGCUAAAUAAAGCCAGUCUUCUGUCCUACAGCAUGUCCAAAGCCUAUGAAUUCUUCCCAUUUUCUACCAAGCCCCACUUCCAAUGGGAAGCAGGUUUUUUUUAAAUAGCCUUAGGAGAAACCACAUACCCUCUCCUGCAUGAUGGCUCUAAGAGGUGGCGGCAAAAAGUGCACCAAAUAGAAGCACCCCAAGCCUUAACCCAUAAGGAAAGAGGAAGCUCAGACUCAGCCUUUCCUGCUGCUCCUGCAGAUUUCUGCUGCUCUCCAUUUGCUUCCCAGAACAAACACAUCACUAAAGGUCAUGUUUUUCAUCGGGGACUGCGAGUUCCUGCACAGGUUGUGCCCAGGGCAGAGCUGCGGCGCAACGCCCCAUGUCCUCACCCGCUCUCACUUCCCUGCAAGGAGCCCAGCGUAAUUGGGUUCCUAUUUUUGCUCUUGCUACAGAGUGCCUGAGAUGGAAAAAAAUCUCUUCUAAGAGGAAACAGGUUUGAAAGAGAAGAAAUAUGCCCCAAGCCUACUGAGCUUAAUGACUAUAGUGAUAUACCCCCUAUACAUGUUUAGACACUUAAAGGAGGUGCUCCAAGUCUUCUUCCUGGUGUACCUGUGCUCUGUAUGGACACUAGUCUCCCAGAGCCCUCUGCGUGUAAUCCCUGCCGUGCAGAGCUUCAGACAGAAGCAUGCUGUCCCAGCACUGGCUGUGAUGAGUGGGGAAGAGAAGUACCCGAGGGAGGCAUGGGGCAGGAAACUCACGCUUGAAAUCUCCGUAGGGUAAAAAAGCGUACUCGGCCUGGUUAGAAAGCUGAGUUCCCAAUGCAGGCUGAAGAAUGCAAUGCCUUCACAACACAGCAGAAAGCCGUCCUGCCCCGAGGCUCUUCCUGAUGGAGGAGCAUCCCUAUCCAUCGCCUGAUGCUCUGCAGGGCUUCCAAUCGGAUCUGGCGGCUUUGUUCUGCUCGAUAGCACGAUAAUGGGUCGUUUCUCCGACCUGCGCCGUGCCGGUAGCAGAGGGGUCGCCGAGGCUCCCACGUUAAGUCACGGGGAUUAGGAAUGAGACACUAGAAGGCAGCUACAGUGUUGCCAUUGAAGCCUGUUCUUAGCCACAGCUUCGCCAACAGACUUCAUUCGCUGGACUUCUUUCCCAGAGCCCGUUUUUAUUCUCUCGUCGGCUUUUUGUCGCGAGUCUUUUUCCGAGCAGCUCUGCAGGCUGUGCCCGUGACACCGCCUUCCAGCAGCCCUCCUUCCAUCCCCACGGCUGCUCCGUGCUCUGCACUGAGCUUCGGGGGACAGAUUCCUUUCAGCUCUGUCCCUCCAAGAAACAACAUUUUACUUUCUACUGCCCUGAGAUGAAUGAACUACAGACCGGUUGCUCCCACCAAGUUGCAUUGAAACACUCUCGUAAUGAUAUAAAAUACUACUAAAUACCAAAUGCACGGAAAGAAACCUGCCAGAUGCCAUGCACAACCAAUUCAAGCAUGGAGAAAUGGAGGCUGCUCACCAGUGGCUGGGUCUGGAAGAGACACAGCACUGAUACUGGCAAGUUUCAUAGUAAUGCUUACUACGGACAGCUCUGGGUAGACUGUGUAGUGGAUAACAGGUCACUCCAAAAUUCCUUCUCCAGUAGGGAUCCUCCAGAUGAAAUCAAUUGGAAUGAACCUGCAUAUGGGUGCAAGAACAGUUUUCAGGUAUCAUGGAUCAUGGAUCUCGCCUUUCAUUUUUCCUGGCUAGUUAAA